CCUACGGGAGGCUGCAGUGAGGAAUAUUGGUCAAUGGCCGGGAGGCUGAACCAGCCAAGUCGCGUGAGGGAAGACGGCCCUACGGGUUGUAAACUUCUUUUGUCAAGGGACAAAAUCAGGCUCGAGAGCCUGACCGAGGGUACUUGAAGAAAAAGCAUCGGCUAACUCCGUGCCAGCAGCCGCGGUAAUACGGAGGAUGCGAGCGUUAUCCGGAUUUAUUGGGUUUAAAGGGUGCGUAGGCGGACUGUUAAGUCAGCGGUAAAAGCCCGGGGCUCAACCCCGGCGAGCCGUUGAAACUGGCUGUCUUGAGAUGUCGAGAGGUAUGCGGAAUUCGUGGUGUAGCGGUGAAAUGCUUAGAUAUCACGAAGAACCCCGAUUGCGAAGGCAGCUUACUAAACUGUGACUGACAUUGAUGCUCGAAAGUGUGGGUAUCAAACAGGAUUAGAUACCCCUGUAGUC
rnacentral:rRNA from 1 species